rnacentral:rRNA from 1 species
CGGGGGGAGCAAGUCGUUGUUCGGAUUUACUGGGCGUAAAGGGCGCGUAGGCGGCGCAACAAGUCACUUGUCGAAAGUCUCCGGGCUUAACCCGGAGCGGCCAAGUGAUACUGUCGUGCUAGAGGUGCGGAAGGGGCUACUGGAAUUCUCGGUGUAGCGGUGAAAUGCGUAGAUAUCGAGAGGAACACCUGCGGCCGAAGGCGGGUAGCUGGGCCGACACUGACGCUGAUGCGCGAAAGCCAGGGGAGCGAACGGGAUUAGAUACCCCGGUAGUCCUGGCCUUAAACGAUGGAUACUUGGGUGUCCGGGGUUACAUAGUCCCCGGGUGCCGGCGCUAACGCAUUAAGUAUCCCGCCGUGGGGAGUACGGUCGCAAGAACUG